GGUAAACCACUCUAUGCAUUCAGCCAAGUUGACUCCUGCCCCUGGACCUCUGCCACCAGAGUCCUGCCCUGGCCAUACUGCUGCUCUUCUGGGGGGGUGGGGUGGGGAAGCAAUCUGUCACCUGAGAAGACUUAAACAAUAAGGACUGGUUUCAGCAAAGCCUGAGGUCUAAUCAGGUAUAGCACAUUUCCAAGCAAUGAGAAGGGCAGCCUGCCGGUCCACCUCUUGGGUGUCACUCUGUUAAACAUAAAACACUCUCUUUAAUUAAUAUCUAGGCUUGACAUGAGCCAACAAAAGCGAGGAAACACAGUGCACAGAAAACAAAUCAUCCUUGAAAGCAGUGGGAGGAAGCCCCACAGUGGCAGCUGGAGGCUCAACCCACAUCCUGAAAUAGAUUCCAGCUUUGACAAGAAAGCGCCAUCAGUGGGGAGUCGUGCACCACAUCCAACACAUUCACGUCUGCCGCACUCGCUGAUCUAGGAAGGCUUUUUCUAGCAAGGAGUCAAGACACAAACAGAAACACAUCUGGUGUUUGCUGUCCCGCAUGUCCCUAUCCGUGCUAACCUUUCCUGAAACAGCCCAUCAGAAACAGGAGGGAGCAAUUUAGUGCAUCAUCAGGGUGCCUUUCCUUCCGAGUUUUAAGAACAAAGGCAUUAAGGUUGGCGGUCUGACAGCAGGUUUAUUCCAGCCAGAGGAGAAACACCCUAGCAAGAAAUGGGUUCGCUCAACAUGCGUGGAGUGCAGAGACUGCACACAACCAAGUUAGCUGAGUAGAAGACUAAAAAGCUACCCUGGCUUAUCUGCUGUGCCUGCACAGUGAGCCAGGAAAGAGGGAAUGUUCCGAAUGCAUCUGCUGCCAUCGUGGUCUGUGCUGUCACCAAAUCUAGCUCUGGCAUAUUGCCAAGAUACCCAUUCUCUUUCUCAGACCCACGGUCACUUGCCCUCUUUAAACUUGGCACAAAUUUCUCCAGUGUGACCUGUGCUCUUAGGCCAAUGCUCCUUUUAUUGAAACUGAAUCUAGAACAUUGAUUCUAGAAAACAAGGGGCUACUAAUGAAGGUACCCACAAAGAGCGAGUUCAUCUGCACUUUUGUAUCUUGAGAAACAUGUGAAGAUCUACACACACACACACACACACGGGAGGGGGAAUGCAAAACUAUUACAAUGUAAAAUGAGCUUUUGAAAACUGACGGGAAAAGAGACUUGUGCUGCUGAACACGUAACAGCAUAGUUGCACCCAUCCACUCAUCCAGUGCUGAUGAAAGGUGAGUGGGGAGAGGUUUUCCUUGUCCUCCCGCCUACCUGAAACAGCUGAUCUAUGGAAUUUAAACCAGAAGCAAAUAUGAGCAUAGGUCACAUUACGCUGACAGUGCAAACAGGAAAGGAAAACCUUGCAGAAAGAUGUGGCUUCAUCAGCCCUGUCCCUCUGUGCCAAAGGAGAUGGUUGUAUUUUGCAGGUUAGGAAAGGCUAAGGCUUAAAUCAUGUAGGUGAUUGGAAAAAUCACCACCAACCACCACCUUUAUCAUCUUAGAGUUGCAGAGCUGGAAGGCACCCUACGGAUCAUUGAGUCUAGCCCUUAUCAAGAAGGCACAACGAGGAAUUAAACUCCCAACCUCUGGUUCCAGAGAUCUAAACCACUGAGCUAUCCAACCAUGUCUUGAAAGAAAAUGGGAGGACAAUAAGGGGAGGCACUAGAAAAGUAAACAAUGUACUUGAAGUCCCCAGAUUCCAAAGCAAGCCCAUGAUAUUGGAUUGGUUGGGGGGUAGGCAAGCACAAAUGCACCCCAAUUUUUGCCAUGUGGAAAAACCUAGAAGGGUGAAAAAUGAGUUUAGCUAGCCUGUCAGUUCCAAUUUAUCAUAUAUGCCUUUCCCAGGUAUCAACACCAGAUGGCAAACAGAUAGAAGUGGAAACCUUCAUUUUUCUGAACCUUGUGAUGUAUUUGGGAGUGUCGGGGAGAAGACUACAUUUGGAAAAGAAAGGAGAAAAUGUCUAUAUUUGAAAAGUGUACACAAAUCUAUAUAUACCUGGUGGUGAUAUGCACAAGAUGAUUUCUGUGGGAAAGAAAUACUAUAUGCAUAUAGCUGAAAUAUUAUUCAUAGACUUGUGAAAAAAGGGUAUCAAUUUUGUGUGGACUAGAAAAAGUUGUAACCUAAUGAAAAAACCAGGACAGAUGCCACUCAACAGUGGAAAACCAGAAACCAGAAAGCUGAGUUUAACAGAUUCAUCAGCCCACAGUGAUGCAAUGUACAGUAUGGGAUCCGACUAAGGAAGCUAUACCUUCACUACCUCAUAGACGAAGUGACAGGGGAAAGCAACCAAGCAAAUUCCCUAUAGUAAUGAUACCAUCUUUGUAAGCAAGCACAGGAGAAACAGUGUGAUGUAGUGAUGGAAUGUGGGACUACAACCCAGGAGACCCAGGUUCAAAUCCAGGUUCGGCCAGGGAAACUCAGAGGGAUGGCCAGUACUGGUAAAUCUACUUUUUAAAUAUCUCCCAUGCCUUGAAAAUUCCAUUAGGUCACCAUAAGAUGGAUGUGAGUUACUGCACCUAAAAAAAACUUGUACGCACAACAUUUUCUAACAGAAAACCACUCAAAGCCACGCAAUGCACACACAAACACAGAGACAGAAAUCCAGCAUAGUGAUGGGUUGGUUUAGAUCGGUGUGCACUUCCACAUCGAACUACAAAGGAAACUUAAGUAUAUUUUAAAAUUAAACAACAUUAUCUUCAGGGAAAAAGGCACGCAGCCAUUUGCAGGUGAAUAGCAUAUUAUGAUUAGCGUCUCUCUCUCCAUCUGUCUCACCCCCUUCUCCUUUCCAGCUCCUUUUUCACUUGGCUCCUCUGGGCUAAGAGUGCAUCUUUCCUUUUACAUUUUUGUUUUUAUUUUAAAACUGGUCAGGAUGUUUUAGCAUCGCCUAGAGCGACUAACUCUUUCUAAUCCCUUGCGAUCUCAUCAGCCUUCCCUCUAAUAAAACAUGUAGGUUCUCAUUUGAGCUAAUAAAG
ensembl:lncRNA